CCUUUCUCCAAACAACGUUGCCACACGCGGAGAGCACGGAGAUUUCUGGGGCUUUGGAGGGAAUCGUGAGCGGGCGGGAGGAGGCCGGGGACCACACAGAGAAUAACUUGUCUGACUACCAGUAUUCUUGGAUGCAGAAGUGCUGAAGAUGAGCACACACACGUACGGAGAAUUUCUGGAGAAUUCAGCUGCUCAGAACAAGAACUGAGAUCCAGAGAGAUGAUGACUUUGCCCAUAGACCAAACAAAGAAAUACAUGUUUCAGUCCUGUGUCCUCCUGCUAUGUGUGUCCGGAAUUGGUGGGUUCUUGGUCUCACUGACUUCAAGAAUGAAGCUGCGGACCCUCGCGGACCGUGUGUGAAUGCCUGCUCUGUGAGCCCUCAGAAUCUACUGGCUGAAUGAGUGCGUGGAGGAAAUGUGCUCAGAGCUGCUGUGUGUCAUCCUGUGUUUGAAGUGCUCCUGCAGCUAUCAUUCAUCCAGUUAAGAAUUUGAAGAAGUGUGUGCACAAAGGAUGUACCAGACUAUUAAUAUUGGUGACCAUGGGCUAGGGAGUAUGUUCUUGAUAAAUUUACAAAAUCUUCUGAUCAACUAUAGACUUUAAAAAUAUAACAUCAAUUUUUUAAUAAAAUACUCUCUCUCUCUCUCUCUCUCUCUCUCUAUAUAUAUAUAUAUAUAUAUAU
rnacentral:lncRNA from 10 species